UGGGGAAUAUUGGACAAUGGGCGCAAGCCUGAUCCAGCCAUGCCGCGUGAGUGACGAAGGCCUUAGGGUUGUAAAGCUCUUUUGUCAGGGAAGAUAAUGACGGUACCUGAAGAAUAAGACACGGCUAACUUCGUGCCAGCAGCCGCGGUAAUACGAAGGUGUCUAGCGUUGUUCGGAAUCACUGGGCGUAAAGCGCGCGUAGGCGGCUUUGCAAGUCAGGGGUGAAAUCCUGGGGCUUAACCUCAGAAUUGCCUUUGAAACUGCAAGGCUGGAGUAUUGGAGAGGAGUGCGGAAUACCUAAUGUAGCGGUGAAAUGCGUAGAUAUUAGGUGGAACACCGAUGGCGAAGGCAGCACUCUGGACAAUAACUGACGCUGAGGCGCGAAAGCGUGGGGAUCAAA
rnacentral:rRNA from 1 species